rnacentral:rRNA from 1 species
GAUGAACGCUGGCGGCGUGCCUAAUACAUGCAAGUAGAACGCUGAAGGAAGGAGCUUGCUCUUUCCGGAUGAGUUGCGAACGGGUGAGUAACGCGUAGGUAACCUGCCUGGUAGCGGGGGAUAACUAUUGGAAACGAUAGCUAAUACCGCAUAACAGUAGAUGUUGCAUGACAUUUACUUGAAAGGUGCAAUUGCAUCACUACCAGAUGGACCUGCGUUGUAUUAGCUAGUUGGUGAGGUAACGGCUCACCAAGGCGACGAUACAUAGCCGACCUGAGAGGGUGAUCGGCCACACUGGGACUGAGACACGGCCCAGACUCCUACGGGAGGCAGCAGUAGGGAAUCUUCGGCAAUGGACGGAAGUCUGACCGAGCAACGCCGCGUGAGUGAAGAAGGUUUUCGGAUCGUAAAGCUCUGUUGUAAGAGAAGAACGAGUGUGAGAGUGGAAAGUUCACACUGUGACGGUAUCUUACCAG